UCAGAUUUCCUUCGAUCACCAUGGAAGUUGCCAUGCAAAGUAGAAUUCUAAAGGUAAUAGAAUCGUGUAAAAUAAGGCAACUCUCCAGCUGGAUGCGCGCUCUGGAAAACACUCCUACUCUUGCCGAAUUCGCAGCUCUCGCCAGAGGAACGGCUGUCGUCAGAGAAACGGACCUCGCCAGAGAAAUGGCUAUCGCCAGGGAAACGGGUCGCGCCAGAGAAAUGGCUAUCGCCAGAGAAAUGGUGAUUUCUCUGCUCUGCAUC
rnacentral:lncRNA from 1 species